rnacentral:rRNA from 1 species
CCUACGGGUGGCAGCAGUGGGGAAUCUUCCGCAAUGGGCGAAAGCCUGACGGAGCAACGCCGCGUGAGUGAUGACGGCCUUCGGGUUGUAAAACUCUGUGAUCUGGGACGAAAAGGCAGAGUGUGAAGAACAAACUGCAUUGACGGUACCGGAAAAGCAAGCCACGGCUAACUACGGGCCAGCAGCCGCGGUAAUACGUAGGUGGCAAGCGUUGUCCGGAAUUAUUGGGCGUAAAGCGCGCGCAGGCGGCUUCCCAAGUCCCUCUUAAAAGUGCGGGGCUUAACCCCGUGAUGGGAAGGAAACUGGGAAGCUGGAGUAUCGGAGAGGAAAGUGGAAUUCCUAGUGUAGCGGUGAAAUGCGUAGAGAUUAGGAAGAACACCGGUGGCGAAGGCGACUUUCUGGACGAAAACUGACGCUGAGGCGCGAAAGCGUGGGGAGCAAACAGGAUUAGAUACCCCUGUAGUC